UGCAUUUGUACUUUGUACUCUGUCUGAAACCAGACAGAGAUGCUUCGAGACAAUCAUCAAGUUCGCCAGCAGGGGAGAUGAGAGGUUUGUUUGGAAGCAGCUGGAAGAAAUGGGACAAGUUGGAGAGACGAUUUUGAAUGUGAAGUUAUUCUGUAAUUGACUAAGUUUUUAAUAGUAGAGACCAAAAAUCCACCGGGACUCGAUACCUACAUGGAAAGUCAAUAUAACCAGUGGACCUUCAGUGACAGAGCCUACAUUUUUGAUGAGAAGACAUUAAAAAGAGAAUAAUUUAGUAUUUCAGCUGGCCAGGAUUAGAACAGGGAGUGAGACAAUGGGCUCCACAGGCUCCAGACCCAGGCUGCGAAAAGUAGCUCCAUGUAAUAGCCUGCGAGAAGAGGGGGCACAGCCUGAACCACAAUGGACCCUCCCUUCUCUACCGGUCACUGUGGAGCAGCCAUCAGGAUCUCUGGGACAGAGGAAGACAAUCUUACCUCCACUGAGACACGAAAUAACUCUUUCCUCAUUCUCAGGGCAGGGACUGCAGAGAUGGGGGUGUCCACCUGUUUUCUACAAUCGGUCAGACAGGACACUCCAGCACUGGCAGAAUGAUUCAGGAAGGAUUCCUAGAGGCCCAGACAGCUCUCUCACAACAGGCUCAUCGGCAUCGGCGAGCUCGCUUCCGACAAGCCAGAGAGCACAGAAGACAUAAGGUUGUCUACCCAGUUAAUGUUGGAGAAACAAAUACAGAAGGCAUCCAGAGGCUGAAACUUGUGAGAAGGUCCACAGAGAGGGACAUCUUUCUGGAUGAGAGCACAGGAGAAAGUCUAGACCCCAGCUGCCUUCUGGACUCAAAAUCUCUGCCUCACCUCUGUGAAGCCAGACAGCGUAACCAGCCAGACAAACAGCUUCUGUGCAGCAGAGAAGAUGAGAUCCAGAUAGAUCGAACUCAAGGUCCCACAAACAGGGAGGAAAUAACUCAACAAACUGGACAUAGAGGACUGUCUUUAGACCAAAACCUAGUCUGGACAACUGAAAGGGAAAUAGUGAGAAUAGAAGACAGGGGUAAAACUCAGAGGGAUAGCUGGAUGUGACCUGAGUCAGCCAGAAGUAGUCAGACAGCGGGGAUAAGAGGUGCAGGAGGGAUCUGGGACAAUAAGCUGGACUAAGAACACUUGAAAU